rnacentral:misc_RNA from 1 species
AUAUCUAUCAAAAGUCGAUGUUUGUCCUGACAUUAUCUUCAUUACACCCUUGUUCACCUUUGGCCAGAAUCAGGAGAACCAUCUUCAUAAGACACCAGGCCCCUCUUUCCAUUAGGACUUCCUGAUGAUGACCUAGACCUGUCUCUGCUCACUCGUUUGGGAGACUGGGAGUCCAAUGACGACUGCGAUACUGAUGGGCUCCGGCUACAAGGAGACCUCUCAGCCUGUGGGGAGCCACGAAAUCUAGGUGCAUUAACUGGGGAAAGACUCUUAACUGGGCUACGACUAGGACUGUAGCGACGAUUACGGUAGCGAGGGCUUCGUGAUAACGACGGGCUCCUUGUUCUGCUUCUCCUGCCUCUGUAUCUGGGAGGAGUUCUUCCUCUUGGUGGGCUUCUAUACCGCCUAGGUGAAUA